AAAUGGUCAGUGAUAAUAAACAAGAAGGAGGGAUUUCCAAGGGAGCAGAGCAUUAAUAAGGUUUUAUCUACUACAAAGGAUAUCACUUGGGAAGGAAUUUCUUGAAACUGCUCCCAAGAGAGCCAUUGGACCAUGUGGUAAACAACUCCUAGCUGAUGGAUUAUUGGGAAUAUUAACAUCAUCCAGAAUGCUAUGGGGAGAAGACAACUGGAAGCUCCGUGUGGACAAACCUCCUGGACUCUGCCCCACAUAUCUCUUCCCUUGGCUGAUUUGAAUUUGUAUCCUUUCACUGUGAUAAACCACAACCAGAUUAUUACAGCUGUCAGCAAGUUCUUCUAUUGAAUUGUUGAAACUGAGGGUGGUCUUGGGAACCCCUGAACUCUACUGUUGGUGUCAGGAGUGAGGGAAGUCUUGUGGACUGUACUCCCUGACCUCACAGGUGCAUUUUCCAACUUUAUUUGGACAUUCCCCAACAACAUCAUCCCCUUCUUCAAAUAUGUUUCUGCUACAAACAUUGUCCUUUAGAUGGUUCCUUUGCUGCCAUUAUGACUAUGGCGUAAUCUGUAGUAAAGCACCAUUAAGAUGUUAAUACAGAUGUAUGUGUGAAUUAAAAAGUGAUGCUAAAUGCAUAGUAACCAAUUUACUUCGCAUUAAUAAUUUAGCUAUUUUUAUUUGUUUCUAAACAAAAAGCAAAGAGGAUCCAGUCCAGAGAGCAGUUGCAACAGUGUGCACAAUUUUUAUUAAACCGAAAUAAAAGUUCUUGGGCUAUGGAAGUCACCUAAAUUCACUUCUCUUUUCCUAUGAACUUUCACUUUUUUUCCUUCCAACUCUAGUUAGAAGCUGACAGCUGACACGCCCUUCCUUUGUGCAUUUUAUCCUGGGACAAAAUGAGAAGACAUCCUUCAGUUCCCCUCAUCAACAAGAAUUUACCAAGAAGAAUUCUCCAAUGCCAGUGAGAUUCUGAAAUCUCAUAGUUGUACUCAAUUAUAAAUUACUUAUUCACAUGAUCCAGGUUUUACAUGGGUUAAUUUUUUUAGAUAAUCAUCAGAAUGAAAACAUGACAUUUAAAAAAGCACAAAUAAGACUACAAAGAUUGUUACAUGUUCUCAGGAUCCCUGAGUCCAGGUUGAGAAAUGCUCUUUUAAAGACGCCCAGGCACAUGCAUUUUGGUUUAACAAUACUUGAUCUACUAAUAGUUCUCAUCAUGCAGUAAUUUAAGUAUUUGGUUGUAUUUUUGUAAGAAUUAAUAAAAUGUUAUAUGUGAAAAUAUUUUGCAAGUUAUAAAGCAUUGCAAAUGUAUGUAGUUAAUUUUUUCUACCUCUUUCAUUUCUUCCUCGAAGACUGUGUAAGACAUACCAGUCUUUUGAUAUAUUUCCCUUUUAAAAUUUUGUCACCUUGGUCUUUUUCAUUAGAGUAUUGAUCAGCUGUCAUCUAGUACUUCAGAGGCAAACUUCAUCUGACUAUUUACCACACUGACAGAUACUGAUAAACCCUUCGUGAUUUCCUGGCUAUUUGGCAAAGUGUUUGAAAUAAUGAUUCAAAAGGGGGCUUCUUGAAAACCUCCUUUUGGAGUCUUAGAGGUUUAACUGAUUCCACUGAAUCUGAUAAUUGUGCUGUCUGCAAAGAAAUACAUGGGAGCAGUACAUGGAGCUCAGGUUGUAUGUAUUGGGAACAGAAACACUUCAAUCCUGCUAAUUGUAUUUAAAGCAGAUGGGGAAAGGGAGCCAAACAUCAGAGUUUGUUUUGCUGCAGACACUUAAUACACACUGUCCGGAUUGCUGGCUUUAGUUUCCCAUUGUGUAGGGGGGAAACUGAUGUUCAGAAAACUUCAAUAAUUUGACUAAAAUCACAGAAGGAGAUGGAGCAAGAUUUGAUCCCUGGUCCUGAUUUCCAAGUGAAUAUCAUUUCCCAUAUGUCUGGCUAUGGAAGAGGGAAUGAGAAUGUAGGAAAUGGCAAACCAGGGUCUUGGGCUGAGAAAAUGGAGCUUCCCAGGCUGGCAUUUACCAAAUCAUGUGUGGCCUCAAAUCCAGUUCUCCAAGACAAUUUCCUGCUCCCUACACCCCUACCUCCCUUAGUUACAUCCACGUUCCUCCAUCAUUGGCACCAUCGUUCAGUGUCAGCUUCUUCCUGGAAAACUAGUUUGCCUUAAAAACUUGCUCAAAGACUGUUUUUCCCUCUCUCUCUCUCUUUCUAGGACUGACCUCUCUAACUCAGUAGUUAGACUCUUGAGUCCUUGAAAUUGAGCACAGGUAUGGGCUACCACAGGAACACCAAUACAAAUGCUAACAUUUCCUGAGUGACUACAGUGGGCCGAGUACUGCAUUAACUGCUUUAUACGUAUUAUUUCAUUUAAUCCUCACCACAACCCUCUGUCGUUCCUACUAUUAUUGCCAUUUUAUAGAUAAGAAAACGGAGGCACAGAAAGACCCAGCCAUUUGUCCACGGUUACACAGCUGAAAUAAGGCCAUAGUAGACUAAAACCCAUUGUCAUUCCAUCCCCAGGGCUUUGUGUUGUCUUUCUGAGCAAACUUGGGUGAAUUGUGACUAUGGGUUCCUCGGCAUGUGCUGCAUUCUUCUGAUCUCCUGUCUCUGGUUGCAAAGUUCUGGUCCAGGAAUCAAGUGUUCAACUUUCCAUGCAGCUCCCAUAGUACAGAACAGUUCUGAGCAAACAGCGAGUGUUUAGUGAACAGGGUUGACUUUUACUACAUGAAACACUAAUGUUCAGUUAUGUACUUGUGAAGGCAGAGGGAAGUAGCAUAUUCCAAGUGUCGUGUUGAUCCUCAGAGUAUAUUAAAAGGGAAACCAGACUUUGUCUCAGAGAAACUAAACUAAUAUUAAAUAAUGUUAUGGGCUACAUUGUGAUUUCCCCCUCCCUCAUAUAGAUAUGUUGAAAUUCUAGCCCCCUGCCCCCAUACCUCAGAAUGUGACUGUAUUUGGAGAUAGGGUCUUUAAAGAGGCAACUAAGGUAAGAGAAGUUCGUUAGGCUGUGCCCUAAUCCAAUAUGGUGAUGUCCUUAUAAGAAGAGAUUAAGACACAGACACCCACAGAGGGAAGACCAUGUAAAGACACGGAGAAGGUGGCCAUCUGCAAGCCAAGGAGGAGAGAGGCCUCACGAGAAAUCCACCUUGCCAACACCAUGGGGAAUAAAUUUCUGUUGUUUAAGCUACUUGGUCUGUGGUAUUUUGUGAUGGCAGCCCUGAAAAACUGGUAUAGACACCAUUUGGGCAAAAAGAUAAGAGCCUGCCUCUUUUUCUUGUGGUAAAGGGAGUUGGUGGGCAUAGGGCUGCUGUUUGGGGCAUACAC
ensembl:lncRNA LINC01915 long intergenic non-protein coding RNA 1915